rnacentral:rRNA from 1 species
AUUGAACGCUGGCGGCAGGCCUAACACAUGCAAGUCGAACGGUAACAGGAAACAGCUUGCUGUUUCGCUGACGAGUGGCGGACGGGUGAGUAAUGUCUGGGAAACUGCCUGAUGGAGGGGGAUAACUACUGGAAACGGUAGCUAAUACCGCAUAACGUCGCAAGACCAAAGAGGGGGACCUUCGGGCCUCUUGCCAUCGGAUGUGCCCAGAUGGGAUUAGCUAGUAGGUGGGGUAACGGCUCACCUAGGCGACGAUCCCUAGCUGGUCUGAGAGGAUGACCAGCCACACUGGAACUGAGACACGGUCCAGACUCCUACGGGAGGCAGCAGUGGGGAAUAUUGCACAAUGGGCGCAAGCCUGAUGCAGCCAUGCCGCGUGUAUGAAGGAGGCCUUCGGGUUGUAAAGUACUUUCAGCGGGGAGGAAGGGAGUAAAGUUAAUACCUUUGCUCAUUGACG